rnacentral:rRNA from 1 species
AACGAACGCUGGCGGCAUGCCUAACACAUGCAAGUCGAACGAGACCUUCGGGUCUAGUGGCGCACGGGUGCGUAACGCGUGGGAACCUUCCCUUAGGUUCGGAAUAACUCCCCGAAAGGGGUGCUAAUACCGGAUAAUGUCUUCGGACCAAAGAUUUAUCGCCUUUGGAUGGGCCCGCGUUGGAUUAGCUAGUUGGUAGGGUAAAAGCCUACCAAGGCGACGAUCCAUAGCUGGUCUGAGAGGAUGAUCAGCCACACUGGGACUGAGACACGGCCCAGACUCCUGCGGGAGGCAGCAGGGGGGAAUAUUGGAAAAUGGGCGAAAGCCUGAGCCAGCAAUGGCGUGUGAGUGAUGAAGGCCUUAGGGUUGUAAAGCUCUUUUACCCGGGAUGAUAAUGACGGUACCGGGAGAAUAAGCACCGGCUAACUCCGUG